UGGGGAAUCUUGCACAAUGGGGGAAACCCUGAUGCAGCGACGCCGCGUGAGCGAUGAAGGUUUUCGAAUCGUAAAGCUCUGUCCUAUGGGAAGAUAAUGACGGUACCAUGGGAGGAAGCCCCGGCUAACUACGUGCCAGCAGCCGCGGUAAUACGUAGGGGGCGAGCGUUGUCCGGAAUUACUGGGCGUAAAGGGUUCGCAGGCGGCAUGGCAAGUCCGAUGUAAAAGGCGAAGGCUCAACCUUCGUAAGCAUCGGAAACUGUCAAGCUUGAGUGAAGGAGAGGCAAGUGGAAUUCCUAGUGUAGCGGUGGAAUGCGUAGAUAUUAGGAGGAAUACCGAUGGCGAAGGCGACUUGCUGGACUUCAACUGACGCUGAGGAACGAAAGCGUGGGUAGCAAACAGG
rnacentral:rRNA from 1 species